GACGAACGCUGGCGGCGUGCUUAACACAUGCAAGUCGAACGAUGAAGCCUAGCUUGCUAGGUGUGUUAGUGGCGAACGGGUGAGUAAUACGUGAGUGACCUACCUUUGACUCUGGGAUAAGCCUGGGAAACUGGGUCUAAUACCGGAUACGACCAAUCUCCGCAUGGGGUGUUGGUGGGAAGCGUUCUGGGGUGGUUUUAGAUGGGCUCACGGCCUAUCAGCUUGUUGGUGGGGUAAUGGCUUACCAAGGCGACGACGGGUAGCCGGCCUGAGAGGGUGACCGGCCACACUGGGACUGAGACACGGCCCAGACUCCUACGGGAGGCAGCAGUGGGGAAUAUUGCACAAUGGGCGGAAGCCUGAUGCAGCGACGCCGCGUGAGGGAUGACGGCCUUCGGGUUGUAAACCUCUGUUAGCAUUGAAGAAGCGAAAGUGACGGUAGGUGGAGAGAAAGCGCCGGCUAACUACGUG
rnacentral:rRNA from 1 species